GCAAGCGUUGUCCGGAAUUAUUGGGCGUAAAGAGCUCGUAGGCGGUCUGUCGCGUCGGAUGUGAAAAUCCAGGGCUCAACCCUGGACCUGCAUUCGAUACGGGCAGACUAGAGUUCGGCAGGGGAGACUGGAAUUCCUGGUGUAGCGGUGAAAUGCGCAGAUAUCAGGAGGAACACCGGUGGCGAAGGCGGGUCUCUGGGCCGAUACUGACGCUGAGACGCGAAAGCAUGGGGAGCGAACAGG
rnacentral:rRNA from 1 species